CGCUAUGUUACCAAGGGCUUCAGAAACCCUACACAUGUGGGAUUCGGUUUCUCCAUAUCCUCACCACACUCAGUAUGUUUAGGGUAUAACCUUUCUGAUAUGCAUAACUAGAUGGUAUCUUUGAUUUUGCAUAUUUUUAGCGAAGGAAUAUAUUUAAAACAUUGUCUAUUUGGGGUGCUUUGUGCAAGCACUGGUGUGUACAGUCAUGGAUUCGCUUGUCUGUUGAACAAGCGUUCUUCGACCAUCUUCUCUAGAGAGGGUCCUGGGUUCUAUGCAGGAUGUAAGAUGAGGCAUUCACUGAAAGCUUUCUGCCAGCUUGAGGCAAUGAGAUGCUCCCCUCGGUGUGAAUUUGCAAUCGAUUCUGUCAUUAGCAGUUCUGCAGGGGGAUGAGGAAUGCUAAAGAAUGUGAGGACUUGGCCUCGCAUUAUUGAAGGAAGAUGGCAGACUUGGCUGGAAUCCAGGAGCCAAGGUCCUGAGAGUUCACGAAAUGCCAUUGUCAACUUCACAAUUUCGUCCAGAACGAGCUGUCAGUUCAACAAGAGAGGACUUGCUGGUGGCCUCCCAGCUUCUCUGAGGAUGCACCUGCUUCAAGGAUCUGGAGUGCAGUCUGGAUGGCGUCACAACCACUUGAUCUUCCUUAAGGAAUGCCCAAGUCUUUGGUGAGAAGACACUUCUGGAUGAGUCUGGGGCUUUGCCAGAGAGUAUUAACUAAUGAGAAAA
rnacentral:lncRNA from 1 species